CAGUCUGCCACUGAUAUUGAUCCUGAUGAACUCCAUUACUAAAACACCUGCACGCGCAAGACCAAAUUCUUCAUGAGCAGCAUUAGAUGGUCAAAUCCAAAUUCAUGAAUGUAGUCUGAUGCUUUUUUAAUGCAUAUAACCCAAAUGGAAAUCCACCAACCACACAUACACGGAUUGCCACAGAAAAGGCUCAUCCCAACUUCAAUUUGUCCAGAAGUACCAGUUAACAGAUCUCAAAUGUCUCAAUGCUCCUAGAAUUGCUGCAAGGCCACAACUACAUGGCAAUAAAAGUAUGCUGCAUAGCAUUGUUGUAGUUCUUUAUCAAGGCAUAUAAGGAAGAAAGGACAUUUUGAAUUCAGAAACAUAAAAUACUUCAUGAGUGUUGUUAAAUUCAGAAACAACAUCCAAUCAUUUUGUCCAUUGCCAAUUGCAUCAUUCCAGCAAAGUAUAAUAGAUAAGGCUGCAUAACGUCACAACCAAGUUUGUUAACUUAAAACAAUGUUCAGUAUUUAUCUUACCAGCGUGUUCAUGCAACCACGUUGAAAUAUUGAGAUAUAGAGGUUAAUGCAUGAAUGAGAUAUAGACCAUGACAGGCAAUUCAUCCAAUAUAUGUCCCCUCUUCAGAUAGGGAAUGAUA
rnacentral:misc_RNA from 1 species